UGCCUCGUGUGCCGGCUCGCCCCUCUCCCAGGCAGGGGAGCGCCCACUUGUGGGCUGUUUCCCGGCUAACCAACGAACCCCGGCGCGUAAAUGCGUCAAGGAAUAUAAACUUUAUGUGUGUGCUCUCCUAUCGCCCGGUUAGCCGGGCGUUGGAGUGGUGCCAUGUCUUAACAAUAAACGACUCUCGGCAACGGAUAUCUCGGCUCUCGCAUCGAUGAAGAACGUAGCGAAAUGCGAUACUUGGUGUGAAUUGCAGAAUCCCGUGAACCAUCGAGUUUUUGAACGCAAGUUGCGCCCGAAGCCUCCGGCUGAGGGCACGUCUGCCUGGGCGUCACGCAUCGCGUCUCCCCCACAUUCCACCUUGGUGGAGGGGAAGGAGGAUGGUUUCCCGCGACUCACCGGUCGCGGCUGGCCUAAAAUUGGAGCCCACGGCAUCGGGAUGCCGCGGCGAUAGGUGGUGAACAAGGCCUCGGCCAAGCAAGCAACCCGUCGCGCAUGCCGUGCCAAUGCGGGCUCGAAGGACCCUUUGUCGUUGUCUUUGAGGCAACCAAACCGUUGCGACCCCAGGUCAGGCGGGGC
rnacentral:rRNA from 1 species